GAUGAACGCUGGCGGCGUGCCUAAUACAUGCAAGUCGAGCGAACAGACGAGGAGCUUGCUCCUCUGACGUUAGCGGCGGACGGGUGAGUAACACGUGGAUAACCUACCUAUAAGACUGGGAUAACUUCGGGAAACCGGAGCUAAUACCGGAUAAUAUAUUGAACCGCAUGGUUCAAUAGUGAAAGACGGUUUUGCUGUCACUUAUAGAUGGAUCCGCGCCGCAUUAGCUAGUUGGUAAGGUAACGGCUUACCAAGGCAACGAUGCGUAGCCGACCUGAGAGGGUGAUCGGCCACACUGGAACUGAGACACGGUCCAGACUCCUACGGGAGGCAGCAGUAGGGAAUCUUCCGCAAUGGGCGAAAGCUUGACGGAGCAACGCCGCGUGAGUGAUGAAGGUCUGCGGAUCGUAAAACGCUGUUAUUAGGGAAGAACAAAUGUGUAAGUAACGAUGCACGUCUGGACGGUACCUAAGCAGAAAGCCACGGCUAACUACGU
rnacentral:rRNA from 1 species